GUGAAUUCUCCCGAUUACCACAGUGUCCUAGGCCCAUCUUCAGGUGCUUCAUCAAUCAUUUUCCUUCCAUGAAAAGCUGUACACUGGAUAAAUCAGGAUUUACAGCAGCCUGACACUCUUGCUGUCGCAAAAGGAGACUCGAUCCUAUUAAAUUGUUCCUAUUUCAUGCCUGAUCUAUCAAGAUUUAAGGUUUGGUGGAUUUUCUCCAAUGAUGGAUCACGUUCUCCAAAGAUAAUCGCAAAUCUAUCAACCAUUAAUCCUUGGGUGUCUCAUUCUCGAUAUUGCAUAAGGCACAAUUCUACACUGAAGACAUUCACCUUAACAAUUACCGAUGUUCAAGUUGGUGACAAUGGAAUCUACUACUGUAAGGUGUUUCGGAUGGCACCGCCACCAAGUUUUAAAGCACAAGGAAAAGGCACCCUGCUGAAUGUUAUAGCUUGUCCUUCUCUUUGGGUCCUGAAAUCUUCCGAUGAGGUCGCUUCUUCAUCUUCAAUUAUUAUCACAUGUUUAGCAUAUGGGUUUUAUCCAAAUAUUAUAACAUUGUGGAUACAACCAACAUGUCUCACCAAGCAGCUCAUCAGUACAAGCAAUUCAUCCAAUCCCAAUGGCACUUAUAACUACACAAUAACUGUUAGCAUCUCAACUGAAAAUUGCAGCAAAGCCACUAAAUUCACUUGUAUCAUUCAACAUCCAGCG